GUCACAGGGUCUCUGGUCUGCACACCUCCCUUACUGGGCUUUUUCUGGCAGGUCAUUGUGCAGCGCUGCCUCUCAGCCAAGAAUAUGUCUCACGUGAAGGCUGGCUGCAUCCUGUGUGGAUAUCUAAAGCUGAUGCCCAUGUUCAUCAUGGUGAUGCCAGGAAUGAUCAGCCGCAUUCUGUACACAGACAAAAUUGCCUGUGUCGUCCCUUCAGAAUGUGAGAAAUAUUGCGGUACCAAGGUUGGCUGUACCAACAUCGCCUAUCCAACCUUAGUGGUGGAGCUCAUGCCCAAUGGACUGCGAGGCCUGAUGCUAUCAGUCAUGCUGGCCUCCCUCAUGAGCUCCCUGACCUCCAUCUUCAACAGCGCCAGCACCCUCUUCACUAUGGACAUCUACACCAAGGUCCGCAAGAGAGCAUCUGAGAAAGAGCUCAUGAUUGCCGGAAGGUUGUUUAUCCUGGUGCUGAUUGGCAUCAGCAUCGCCUGGGUGCCGAUUGUGCAGUCAGCACAAAGUGGGCAACUCUUCGAUUACAUCCAGUCCAUCACCAGUUACUUGGGACCACCCAUUGCGGCUGUCUUCCUGCUUGCUAUUUUCUGGAAGAGAGUCAAUGAGCCAGGAGCCUUUUGGGGACUGAUCCUAGGAUUUCUGAUUGGGAUUUCACGUAUGAUUACUGAGUUUGCUUAUGGAACCGGGAGCUGCAUGGAGCCCAGCAACUGUCCCACGAUUAUCUGUGGGGUGCACUACUUGUACUUUGCCAUUAUCCUCUUCGCCAUUUCUUUCAUCACCAUCGUGGUCAUCUCC
rnacentral:sRNA from 1 species